rnacentral:rRNA from 1 species
UGGGGAAUAUUGGACAAUGGGGGAAACCCUGAUCCAGCAAUGCCGCGUGGGUGAUGAAGGCCUUCGGGUUGUAAAGCCCUUUUGGCGGGGACGAUGAUGACGGUACCCGCAGAAGAAGCCCCGGCUAACUUCGUGCCAGCAGCCGCGGUAAUACGAAGGGGGCUAGCGUUGUUCGGAAUUACUGGGCGUAAAGGGCGCGUAGGCGGCUUCGAAAGUCGGGUGUGAAAUGCCUGGGCUCAACCCAGGAACUGCAUUCGAAACUCCGAGGCUAGAGUGUGGGAGAGGUUGGUGGAAUUCCCAGUGUAGAGGUGAAAUUCGUAGAUAUUGGGAAGAACACCGGUGGCGAAGGCGGCCAACUGGACCACAACUGACGCUGAGGCGCGAAAGCGUGGGGAGCAAACAGG